UCCCUAACCCCUCGGCCCCCAUCAUCCCAAUCCCCCUUCCUCCCCGAUCCCAACCCCCCCUUCCGCCGCCGCCGCCAUCUGAAAGUGGAAUCCCUCUCUAAUCGCUCUCAGCUCUCCCGUCGGUGGUCGGCCGGCCGGCUAGUCUCUCUCCUCGGCUGUUACCGAGGUCUGUUAUCUCUCUCUCUCUUCCCCAAAACCCUCGCCAUAGAUCUCGUUUCGUAGCGCUUCUCUCAAGAAAACCACCACCACUCUCCCAGAUCUCCGCCGUCGCCUUUGCGUUUUGAAGUGGAAUCCCUCUCUAAUCGCUCUCAGCUCUCCCGUUGGUGGUCGGCCGGCUGGCCAAUCUCUCUCCUCGGCUGUUAACAAGGUUCGUUCUCUCUCUCUCUCUCUCUCUCUCUCUCUCUCUCUUCCCCAAAAUCCUCACCAUAGAUCUCAUUUCGUGGCGCUUCUCCGAAGAAAACCACCACCACUCUGUUCCCAGAUCUCCGAAAGCAUCCGCCAAAAGGUGAGCUUUUCCCUCUUAGUUUUCUCUGCCAUCGUUUCAUCUCUUCUCUGGCUACGGUGGAAGGAAGCGUGGAACCAGAGAGAAGGAAGAGGAGACCAGAGCCCGGCUACGGUGAAACGAUCCGAGGAAGCCGCAUUUUGGUUUGAUUAGAUGGACUGCAGCGUGGAAGAUUGCAAAGAAGCUACUGCAGCCGAGUGCUUUCUGUAUCAUUUCUACUGUAAUUUUUAAUUUGUAAUUUAUAAGUAUACUUCCUGUGUUAUUUCUAUUGUAAAACAAAAAUCACAUAAAUUAUGCAUAUGUUGUAAUAUAUUAUAAUUUGUAAAAAAAAUCAAUAAAUAAGCAUCUAUUCUUCUUUUUGUGUUA